rnacentral:rRNA from 1 species
UCCGUAGGGUGACCUGCGGAGGGAUCAUUACAAGUGACCCCGGUCUAACCACCGGGAUGUUCAUAACCCUUUGUUGUCCGACUCUGUUGCCUCCGGGGCGACCCUGCCUUCGGGCGGGGGCUCCGGGUGGACACUUCAAACUCUUGCGUAACUUUGCAGUCUGAGUAAACUUAAUUAAUAAAUUAAAACUUUUAACAACGGAUCUCUUGGUUCUGGCAUCGAUGAAGAACGCAGCGAAAUGCGAUAAGUAAUGUGAAUUGCAGAAUUCAGUGAAUCAUCGAAUCUUUGAACGCACAUUGCGCCCCCUGGUAUUCCGGGGGGCAUGCCUGUUCGAGCGUCAUUUCACCACUCAAGCCUCGCUUGGUAUUGGGCAACGCGGUCCGCCGCGUGCCUCAAAUCGACCGGCUGGGUCUUCUGUCCCCUAAGCGUUGUGGAAACUAUUCGCUAAAGGGUGCUCGGGAGGCUACGCCGUAAAACAAACCCAUUUCUAAGGUUGACCUCGGAUCAGGUAGGGAUACCCGCUGAACUUAAGCAUAUCAAAAGGCGGAGGAA